rfam:Cucumis sativus cultivar 9930 chromosome 1, whole genome shotgun sequence.
GAAAAGGUUUUCUUCAAAACCACCAAUUUGCAAGCCAACGCUUGAU